rnacentral:lncRNA from 1 species
AAAUAAUAAGAGGUUAAUUUUUCUUAGUCAUAUAUUUUUGUCGUUCCAAAAUAAGAUAUUUUAGUCUUUUUAAUUUGUCAUAAGCAGCUCGUUUUAAAUAAUUAAGUAGAUAUCAAUAAUAUUUUUCAAUUUCAAAAGCAAUAAUUAGAGAUUGAUGAAUUAAGAGGAGAUGAAGAAGAUUGGAGAAAUGUGAUGAAUUAAGAGGAGAUGAAGAAGAUUGGAGAAAUGUGUUUGUAAUGGGUUUGAGGGUAAUUUUACCAUUUUAUAGUUUUAUUUCAAAUAUAAAUUAUGAUGGGAUUGUUAUACCAUCAAAUGUGGGGAUAACUUAUUCUAGUACUAAUUAUUAGUCUCAGAAUAAGUUAUCCCGAAUAUUAGUAACCAAAUGAUGCAUUAAAAUUUUUAUCCCAAAACUAUUAUUUUAUUCCGAGAUUAUUUACUCUAAUACCUCACAUCAAACAAGCCUAAGUUUAAACCAACAUAAAUGAGAUUCUGUUGUUUUAUGUUGUCAUUUAUGUGCUGAAAAGCCAUAUUCUUCAGUCAAUUAAUUAAAACGUAAAUACAAAAUCAUUAUCAACACAAGAAUUUUAUGUAGAAAUUUUCUUCUUUCAGGAGUCAAAAAUCACUACUUGCUAAAUAGAAAUUUUCUCUAAUCUUCACUAAAAAAUGAGAAAAUUUUGUGGUUACAAAAGAGGCAGCAAACGGGUGAUAGAGUGGGAUGUAGACGAGUCGAAAAUGAAUCAGGUGGUGAAAAUGUAUAAAUUAUAACCCACCCAUAAUGGAUAAAUUAAUGGAUGAUAUGAAUAUUUAUAUUAUCAAUUGCAGAAAUAAGUAUUCCCAUAAUACAAG